rnacentral:sRNA from 1 species
ACUGAACCUCGUUUGAAGUGGAAAUCCUUUUUAUUUCUCCUUUAAAAAUAAAAAGAUGGCAACAAAAAGCGGGAAAUAGC